ACGCGGCUCAGCCUGCACCUCCUGGCAAAUCAUCACGACAGCCUGCUGCAGCUUUGUUAUCGAGACAAGAACCAGAGGAGUCAAUGUUCCUGGUUACUGAAGAAGACACUGUUGAAAAAAAGCCAACCAGGAUGUUCCAGAACCUGUUCCAUAAUAUGGAGUUCUGCAAGUCUUUGGUACACCUUCCUUCAGUGGGUAACUGUAGCUCCUCUCCCUGAGUGGGGACCACUGCUCCAGCCUCUUGUCGGCCAUAAUCAGAAUGAAGCAGAAGUGAUGAUGGGUGACCUUGGAGACUGGGCUGUAGAAGGUCCUCUCACUGACCCGGUGGUCCUCCAAGAGGCCAGGCUCGCUGGCCAGCCAAUCUCUGGGGACUCUGCCUCCUGCCUCACAGGGCUGGGAUUAAAGUGUGGCUGUGGUGCCUGGAAGGGCUGCAGAUGUGAGGACAGAAGUUACCUGUUUAUGAGGGCAGGGCAGGUGCUAGGAGGAGGCUGGGCUUCUGCACGUCUGAGCCACCCGUGCCGACCAUCUCCUGAUUCUGGCCGCUGCCGGGAGAGGUGGCUCUCUUGCAGCUUAGUACACUCCUCAGGCAGUGGUUCAAGGUAAAAGGAUCAAAUAACUGUGUCUGCCAAGUCUCGCAGUCAGCGACCCACAGAAUGGGCUAAGAUGGCCUUCAAGAAAUUUUAGCGUGAGGACAACUGCGCCACUAGACGCUUCCCUAGUGUUUCUCUGCCAACAGCACUCCCACCGCUUGAGGACACCAAUGGGCUCCCCGUGGAGCACAUUUGGGAAUAAGCAAUAGCAGAAAGGGAAGAAGGGAGGCCUGGGUUGGGAUGCUGUGUGGCUUCAGGCAUAUUCCUGAACCUCUCUGAGCUCCAGUCCAUAGAAUGAAGACAGUUGGUACAGAUUAAGCUUAUGCUAAGUCUUUACUGCUUACACCUUUGAAAACUCUUG